rnacentral:rRNA from 1 species
UAACACGUGAGCAACCUGCCCUUGACUUCGGAAUACCAGUUGGAAACAGCUGCUAAUACCGGAUAUGACCUGGGUCCUCCUGGAUCUGGGUGGAAAGCUCCGGCGGUCAGGGAUGGGCUCGCGGCCUAUCAGCUUGUUGGUGAGGUAAUGGCUCACCAAGGCUUCGACGGGUAGCCGGCCUGAGAGGGCGACCGGCCACACUGGGACUGAGAUACGGCCCAG